CUCUUCCCAUUCCGAACAGAGAAGUUAAGCCCCUCAUGGCCGAUGGUACUGCGCAAUCAUGCGGGAGAGUAGGUAGCUGCCAUAU
rnacentral:rRNA from 2 species